GCGGAUUCAGAAAGAAUGAGGGGGCGAUAAGCCCAUCAUUAAAAAUAGGCCCAAAACAACUCAAUAUACUGCAUAAAUAGCAAAUUAGUUUUGGAAGCAAGAUCCCCAAUCUCGAAAACCCUAGACUCUUCAAUUCGACACGAGGAAAGAUGAUGCGUUUCUUCUCUAAGCAGUCUUGUCGUAUCAAGGGGAGGUUGCAGUAUCGUGAUUUUUCAUCCGUGAGUGAUCAGAAAGCUGUCUCGAAAAUUUAUAGAUACUGCUUUAUAGCGGCCUUUGGUGGUGCUGGAUUCCUGAUCGGUGGUGUGACAACAAGCCCCGUCUCUAAGGGGCUUCGGGAAUAUGAAGAGCGCUUUGUUAAAGGUCUGCAACGUCUGGAAAAAAUCGAGGCCAAGAGGGGCAACUGGACUUCCUCUCUUAAAGAGGAAACGAAAGAGGAAACGAAGUGAUGCGCUCCGUUAAAGGUUUCCAACAUGUGAAAAUGGAGCCCAGGAUGGUCAAGUGGACUGUCUCUCUUAAAGAGAAAACAAAGUGAUGGUAAUUGGUUGCGUCUGUUUGUUUCUGUUUCGUCUUUGUUUGCAGUUGUUGAUGAACACAUUAUGUGCAAAUCACUGUAAUAACUAUUUCAUGGUUGUGUCUUUAAAUCUUAUAUGUUUCUGUUGAUGAACUGCUUCAUGGUUGUGUCUUUUAAUUCUUACAUGUUUCUGUUA